AAAUCGCCCCACCCCCGGCUGGCGAGGGCGCUGCUGGCGCCGCGCCGGUGCCCCGCCUUCCCGGCCGCGGAUUGGCCCGCGACGGGACCCGUUGGUCGCGCUGGUGUCUGGGAAGGAGAGAAAAUGGCGGCGGAACCAAGCAAGACCGAAAUCCAGACUCUUUUCAAGCGGCUUCGCGGGAUUCCGACCAACAAGGCCUGCUUCGACUGUGGCGCCAAGAAUCCGAGUUGGGCCAGCAUCACGUAUGGUGUUUUCUUGUGCAUUGACUGUUCUGGGGUGCACCGCUCCCUGGGCGUCCAUCUCAGCUUCAUCAGGUCCACAGAGUUGGAUUCCAAUUGGAACUGGUUCCAGCUGAGGUGUAUGCAGGUCGGCGGAAAUGCCAAUGCGACAGCUUUCUUCCGCCAACAUGGAUGUACAGCCAGUGAUGCCAACACCAAAUACAAUAGCCGAGCUGCCCAGAUGUACCGGGAAAAGAUCCGGCAGCUGGGGAGUGCAGCCCUAGCUAGGCAUGGCACUGAUCUUUGGAUAGACAAUAUGAGUAGUGCUUCCAGUCACUCCCCAGAGAAGAAGGACUCUGAUUUCUUCACGGAACACACUCAACCCCCUGCCUGGAAAGAACCAGCCCCCAACCCAGCAGAGACCCAGCAGCUAGCCCCUUCUACAGAGAUCAGUAGCCUGGCACAGCCGGAGCACGGCCCCAACAUGGACCUGCUUGGCACCUCACCCAAAGCCUCUCUGGAGUCCAUGCGUCUGUCACCUAAAGGGGCCCUUCCUGCCAGAGAACCGAGAACCUCCCUCAUUGGCAAGAAGAAGCCAGCAGCAGCUAAGAAAGGGCUGGGUGCCAAGAAAGGCCUGGGGGCCCAGAAGGUGAGCAGCCAGAGCUUCAGUGAAAUGGAGCGGCAGGCCCAGGUGGCAGAGAAGCUCCGUGAGCAGCAGGUGGCUGAUGCCAAGAAGCAGGCCGAGGAGUCCAUGGUUGCCUCUAUGCGCCUGGCCUACCAGGAGCUCCAGAUUGACCGUAAGAAGGAGGAAAAGAAGCUACAGAAUCUGGAAGGGAAGAAGCGAGAACAGGCAGAGAGGUUGGGCAUGGGCUUGGUGUCCCGCAGCUCCGUCUCUCACUCGGUGCUGUCUGAGAUGCAGGUGAUCGAGCAGGAAACCCCCGUGAGCGCAAAAUCCUCCCGCUCGCAGCUCGACUUGUUUGAUGACGUUGGUACUUUCGCCUCUGGACCCCCAAAGUACAAGGACAACCCCUUCUCCUUGGGGGAAAGUUUCAGUUCCCGCUGGGAUACGGAUGCCGCCUGGGGUAUGGACCAGAUGGAGGAGAAGGAGCCAGAAGUGACUAUCUCAAGCAUCCGGCCUAUUUCAGAAAGGGUCACAAACAGAAGAGAGGUGGAAAGCCGGAGCUCAGGCCUCGAGUCCAGUGAAGCACGCCAGAAAUUUGCAGGAGCCAAAGCCAUCUCAUCGGACAUGUUCUUUGGGCGGGAGGUGGAUGCUGAGCAUGAAGCCCGGUCUCGACUCCAGCAGCUCUCGGGUAGUAGCGCCAUCAGCUCUUCGGACCUCUUCGGGGACGUGGAUGGAGCUCAUGGAGCAGGUAGCGUAUCGCUGGGCAACGUGCUCCCCACAGCUGACAUUGCCCAGUUUAAGCAGGGUGUCAAGUCUGUGGCCGGGAAGAUGGCCGUGCUGGCCAAUGGUGUGAUGAAUUCUUUGCAGGAUCGCUAUGGCUCCUACUGAUCCAGGCGCCACGGCUCAAGCGUAUGGUGGCAACAGCAGCAAAACCCCCACGAUUCCAAGGCCAGGGGCGCUUGCCUUGUGGAAGCUGGGGAGGAAUUGUUACUUUUUAUGUGUUGUGUUGAUCACUUGAGGGAUACUUCUCCUGAGUGUCUCGGAGUCCUUCCAUACCAUCCAUUGUGGAGCACAGGACCCUCUGUCCCUUCUUCCCCUGCUUGGUGGCCAUGGUGGGUCUCAUCUGCCCUAUGCCCCGCUCUGGAUGCUGUGAGCAUAAUGCUGUCCAAGGAAGCAGAGGACAUGGGGGACAGAAACAGGCUCUUGGGGCUCAACUUUUUUCUUCUGUAUCAUCCUGGUCUUGGGGGGGGCCUAGACAGCACCCCCCCACCCCUCAGUGAGAGCUUGAGGCAUGACAGAGCUGCAGGCCUCGCCCCCUGGCCGCUGGGCCCUGUGCUGUGUCCUCGUG